rnacentral:rRNA from 1 species
UUAUGGAGAGUUUGAUCCUGGCUCAGGACGAACGCUGGCGGCGUGCCUAAUACAUGCAAGUCGAGCGGAGUAUUUCCUUCGGGGAAUGCUUAGCGGCGGACGGGUGAGUAACACGUAGGUAACCUGCCUAUAAGACUGGGAUAACUAUCGGAAACGAUAGCUAAGACCGGAUAACUGGUUUUC